AGAAAUCGGCGUUUUUCAAAUCAUUGUUUAGAAAAGAAAAUCCGAACCCAAGCGUUCAUGCGACUGUCUUCGACAUAUUCAAGUGUUAUUGUGAUUUUGUUCGACACCUUCAAGCUCUCUUCAAGCGUUACUGGAUUUCUGUUCCUGCGUUCUUGUGUUUGUCUUCAAGCAUCAAGUUCUGAGUUCUGCGUUCUAUGUUCUUCGUCAACAAUGUCAAAUUCGUCUUGUAUAUUGAGAGAUCCUUGCAAAAAGGGUGUGGUUUUUUCAAUUGGUUCCAUGACGAUUUAGGAUAUGAGAAUGGGCAAUUUAUUAUGAAUAGAUUGGAAAGCAUAACAAAGAAAAUUGAUGAUGCAAAAAAGGAGUUUGAAAAAGUCAAAGUACGAAAUGAAGAAUUAGGGAAAGUUGUGAUGGAACUUCAAACUCAAGUGAACAAGAUCUUGAAAUUGAAAAAGAUAUGGAGUAUUAUGUUUCUUAUAAUCUUAUGUGUAUUGUUUUUUAGGAUGUUUUAGGAGUAUGAAUUAGUUUCUAUGUAUCAGUUUGUAUGGAUGACUUGGUAUGUAUCAAUUUGUAUCAGUUAGCAAUAUGAGUUUGUAUCACUAUCUUGUUAUGGAUGAGUUGGUAUGUAACACAUUGUAUCAGUUUAAUAUGAGUUGAUUUGUUUGGCAGAUUA